GACGAACGCUGGCGGCGCGCUUAACACAUGCAAGUCGAGCGAAGCGGCGGACGGGUGAGUAACACGUGAGUAACCUGCCUUAGACAUUGGGAUAGCCUCGGGAAACCGGGAUUAAUACCAAAUGGUCUAAGAUGGACUCGCGUCCUAUCAGUUUGUUGGUGGGGUAGUGGCCUACCAAGGCGACGACGGGUAGCCGGCCUGGGGGGGUGACCGGCCACAUUGGGACUGAGAUACGGCCCAAACUAUACGGGAGGCAGCGGUGGGGAAUAUUGCACAAUGGGGGAAACCCGGAUGCAGCAACGCCGCGUGCGGUAUGACGGCCUUCGGGUUGUAAACCGCUUUCAGCCAUGACUCGGUAGUGGCAGAAGAAGCACCGGCUAACUACGUGCCAGCAGCCGCGGUAAUUC
rnacentral:rRNA from 1 species